UACACCCGUAUUCUAAGAUGUUUACUCAAAACUGCCUUCACUCGGUCCUCAGCCAAGGCCACCUUAAGGGAUUCUCGAAAUCUCCUUGAAAUCGGUAUUCUUAGUUGGCACCUCAACCUUAGCUGAGGUUUCCUCCAGUGAGGAAGAGUGGAGGUAUGACGUCAUUGUUUUCGUAUUAUUUUGUUGGCAGCAUGAUAGAAUUCUGUUGGCUGUGGUCACGUUUGUAGUUUAUGGGAACAUUUAAACGUCAAACAAAUUGUCAAAUCGACUUUGACAGUUGAUUUCGCGGUACCGGCUUUGUUUAUUUGCACCUGCAGCCCCUGCAGAUCCAGCCCCUGCAGCACCCGCUAAUACCUCACCUGGCGAAGGACCAUCCCAAAUACAAAGAGCUAUUCCUGUGGAAGUUGAUAUUGAAAUAAUGGAUAUUCCAUAUCGUCCAUCAGUCGGGUCUCGUCUCUCCGAUUAUGAACCACCUUCUCUAAUUCAAGAGCCUGUUCCUGAGCCACAAGUAGAGCUACCUCGUCGACCAUCAACUGGAUUGAGAGAACAUGACUAUGGAGCACCUUCCCAAACUCAAGCUUCAAAGAACAUUCGGGCUCGUAAUUAACCAGGAGUUCACCUUGCGAAAGGAUAGAUAUCAGGUGAUAGUGGACAGGGAGGAGGAGCUACACAAAUUGAGGAUAGCAGAGCGGGAGUGGCUCGUGAAGGCAGCUGAGGAGACAUAUCAUAAAGCUCGCCUUGAAAAGGAAAGUGCGCAGGCGUUGCUGCUAUGCAGCCGGGCUAAGCGAGAGCUAGCAGAGCUGCAUCUUUCUAGAGAAAGAAAGAAAUAAAUUGAUAGUUUUUAUUACAUUUU